UAAGUAGACAUGAGAUUUUAUUUCUAAUUUACACAGGAGACCUCAUGCCAGUUUCACUAGUGGUAGCCCAGCUAGAACACGCAUGCAACAGGAAAGUUUAGAACUUUAUGAGAGUAACCUAUCAUUACAUGGUCUGAAACACCUGUGCAUUUGUUGAUUUAUUAAUUUCUAUGUUUUAAUAACUGGUAUGUUAUAUCCAGAUACAUUUCAAGCCAAAUUGAAUUGAUUCAAACAAUUUCCUAAGACCAAUGAAGAGGAAGGAAACAUAGCUGUCAAGCCCCUCUGAAACUAAUGCCAUCAGACUAUGAAGAUGUAUACAGUUAACUUAAUUCCAGGUAAACUAAGAUUCUUGUGGCUGGCAAAAGGGCUUAACAGGUAUGAUAACAUCAAUGUUAAAUACUGCUUCUUUCUACUUAUCUGGCUCUGUGAAAGGACUCCGAGGAGUAAGAAAACACACAGAAAUGUUCAAACCACAGAACAAAAGAACAAAACAGAAAAA